CUUGCAUUAGUCCUUACAUGGGGUGCAUGUGAGAGCAUUUAUAGUGAUACAAGCUGAAUUGUGGCCCUCGGUUGAUAGUACACGUAGCCUCAUCCUGUUAGUUUACAUAUCCAAUCCUAUGUAUCACUUUUGACUACGUAGCCUGCUAUCAUUUAUUGAUUGGUAGAGCCACUGUUAUGUUUGACAAGACAAAACACUUGCACUUUAUGAUGGACGUCCCAUGAAUCAUUCAAAGAAGAUUCUUGUGCAAGUUUGGAUUUCUUGGGAGAGGUGAAGCCAGAGGCGCUUCGGUUUCGGCAUAGGAGCCUUGGUAUUGAACACCUCGGCCAAUGUACUUCGGUCUUCAAGCAACUGGGCCACGUCAAAGGUGUUGCUUCUAGAGGUUGUGUGAUUUUUGUUGGCCUUGGGCCUCGGUCAUCAUGCCACGUGGUUCAGCUUAGUUAGGCCACGGGCCCUAGUGGGUCGGCCAAAUGUACCAACGCAUAACAAGAUUCGUACUCAUAUGAAGUUCUUAUUGUAUAUUAGAACAAACGAACAUUGUAGAAUUCUUAAGAAAAUUUUCGAUUUCAUUCGAAAGGAGAUUAUUAUUGUUCUAAAAUGUCUAAUGAAUGUAAGCCUAUCUUUGAUAGUAGGUAUCCCGUCACAUCUUGUAAGACAAGAUUUGGACAUUUAUCAUCAAUUAACUAAUGUUAGUGUUCAUAUAUUACAAGAUUCAGUGCUAGUAGGUAUCUUGGCACAUCAUGCUUAUCCUUUUAGCCCACGUGAUAUUAAUAGGAAAUAUAAACCGAAAACUUUUGUCCCCAUUUUAAUUAUUAAUAAAUUUAUACAUCACAUCUAUAAGAAAAUUUCUAGAACUUUGUCAAUUUUAUAAAUUUCUUUAAUAAUGUUCAAACGCAACACCUACGCAAGAAAGAGAGAGAGGCGUAGAGCCGUAAAGGGAAAGCAAUCAUUUUAUUUAUAAAAAACUUUGUAAAAUAGAAGAUAAGGAAAUAUUUUUUCGUAAAUGGAAUUUUUUUUCCGAUCUCAACGAGAACCAAAAGACAAAAUAGUCAAACAAAG
rnacentral:lncRNA from 1 species